CAAAUAUCUGCCCUAUCAACUUUCGAUGGUAGGAUAGUGGCCUACCAUGGUUUUUACGGGUAACGGGGAAUAAGGGUUCGAUUCCGGAGAGGGAGCCUGAGAAACGGUACCACAUCCAAGGAAGGCAGCAGGCGCGCAAAUUACCCAAUCCCAAUUCGGGGAGGUAGUGACAAUAAAUAACAAUAUAGGGCUCUUUUGGGUCUUAUAAUUGGAAUGAGUACAAUUUAAAUCACUUAACGAGGAACAAUUGGAGGGCAAGUCUGGUGCCAGCAGCCGCGGUAAUUCCAGCUCCAAUAGCGUCAUAUUCAAAGUUGUUGCAGUUAAAAAGCUCGUAGUUGAAAUUUGGGCCUGGACGGGCGGUCCGCCGCAAGGGUUGUACUGUCUGGCUGGGUCUUUUCCUCUUGGUGAAUCGGGUGUCCUUCACUGGGUGCGUCGG
rnacentral:rRNA from 1 species